CCUACGGGGUGCAGCAGUGGGAAUAUUGGACAAUGGGCGAAAGCCUGAUCCAGCCAUGCCGCGUGUGUGAAGAAGGCCUUCGGGUUGUAAAGCACUUUCAGUGGGGAAGAAAGCCUUGGGGCUAAUACCCUCGAGGAAGGACAUCACCCACAGAAGAAGCACCGGCUAACUCCGUGCCAGCAGCCGCGGUAAUACGGAGGGUGCGAGCGUUAAUCGGAAUUACUGGGCGUAAAGCGCGCGUAGGCGGUCUGAUAAGCCGGUUGUGAAAGCCCCGGGCUCAACCUGGGAACGGCAUCCGGAACUGUCAGGCUAGAGUGCAGGAGAGGAAGGUAGAAUUCCCGGUGUAGCGGUGAAAUGCGUAGAGAUCGGGAGGAAUACCAGUGGCGAAGGCGGCCUUCUGGACUGACACUGACGCUGAGGUGCGAAAGCGUGGGUAGCAAACAGGAUUAGAUACCCGAGUAGUC
rnacentral:rRNA from 1 species